rnacentral:tRNA from 1 species
GUUUCUAUAGUUAAGAGUUGGUUAACGGCGGUUUUGGCUGUAAGCCUUGGAUAGAGUUCAGGCAGAAAUA